rnacentral:rRNA from 1 species
UUAGCAAGUCUCCUGUUAAAUUUCAGCCGACUUAAUCGUUGACCGCGGGAGAUACUACUAGGCUAGGAGUCGGGAGAGUCGACGGUAUUCUCAGGUAGGGUGAAAUCCUAUAAUCCUGGGAGGACCACCAGUGGCGAAGGCUGUCGGCUAGAACGCGCUCGACGGUGAGGGACGAAAGCCUGGGGGAGCAAACCGGAUUAGAUACCCGGGUAGUCCCAGCUGUAAACGAUGCGGGCUAGGUUUGGGGUGGCUACGAGCCACUUCAGUGCCGCAGGGAAGCCGUUAAGCCCGCCGCCCGGGGAGUACGGCCGCAAGGCUGAAACUUAAAGGAAUUGGCGGGGGAGCACCACAAGGCGUGAAGCUUGCGGUUCAAUUGGAGUCAACGCCGGGAACCUUACCGGGGGCGACAGCAGAAUGAAGGCCAGAUUGAAGGUCUUGCCGGACAAGCUGAGAGGAGGUGCAUGGCCGUCGCCAGUUCGUGCCGUGAGGUGUCCUGUUAAGUCAGGCAACGAUCGAGACCCGCACCUUAGUUGCUACCGAGGAAGUUUUCCAAGGGGCACUUAGGGGGACUGCCGCCGACAAGGCGGAGGAAGGAGCGGGCCACGGCAGGUCAGUAUGCCCCGAAUCCCCCGGGCCACACGCGAGCUGCAAUGGCAGGGACAAUGGGUUCCCACUUGAAAAAGGGAGGUAAUCCCCAAACCCUGCUCAGUUGGGAUCGAGGGCUGCAACCCGUCCUCGUGAACAUGGAAUGGCUAGUAAUCG